rnacentral:rRNA from 1 species
GACGAGGGAUCCUAGCGUUGUUCGGAAUCAUUGGGCGUAAAGCGGGUGUAGGUGGCUAUAUAAGUCAGGUGUGAAAGCCCGGGGCUCAACCUCGGAAGUGCACUUGAUACUGCAUAGCUUGAGUGCGGGAGAGGCUAUUAGAAUUCCAGGUGUAGUGGUGAAAUACGUAGAUAUCUGGAGGAAUACCGGAGGCGAAGGCGGAUGGCUGGCCCGACACUGACACUCAGACCCGAAAGCGUGGGGAUCAAACAGG